rnacentral:rRNA from 1 species
CCUACGGGAGGCAGCAGUGAGGAAUAUUGGUCAAUGGGCGCGAGCCUGAACCAGCCAAGUCGCGUGAGGGAGGACGGCCCUACGGAUUGUAAACCUCUUUAGGCGGGGAGCAAUGCCGGGCACGCGUGCCCGGAGGGAGAGUACCCGCAGAAUAAGCAUCGGCUAACUCCUUCCCAGCAGCCGCGGUAAUACGGGGGAUUCGAGCGUUAUCCGGAUUUAUUGGGUUUAAAGGGUGCGUAGGCGGAUUUUUAAGUCAGCGGUAAAAUGUCCGGGCUCAACCCGGGCCGGCCGUUGAAACUGGGGAUCUUGAGUGGGCGAGAAGUAUGCGGAAUGCGUGGUGUAGCGGUGAAAUGCAUAGAUAUCACGCAGAACUCCGAUUGCGAAGGCAGCAUACCGGCGCCCGACUGACGCUGAGGCACGAAAGCGUGGGGAUCGAACAGGAUUAGAUACCCGAGUAGUC